ACGAAGGGGGCUAGCGUUGCUCGGAAUUAAUGGGCGUAAAGGGAGCGUAGGCGGGUCGUUAAGUUGGGGGUGAAAUCCCGGGGCUCAACCUCGGAACUGCCUUCGAUACUGGCGACCUUGAGUAUGGGAGAGGUGAGUGGAACUCCGAGUGUAGAGGUGAAAUUCGUAGAUAUUCGGAAGAACACCAGUGGCGAAGGCGACUCACUGGCCCAUUACUGACGCUGAGGCUCGAAAGCGUGGGGAGCAAACAGG
rnacentral:rRNA from 1 species